CCAAGCGGCGCAUGUCAGUUUCGUUACCUUUCAGGCGAAGAACUUCAUGCAGCCCAUACUUAUAUUUUACUGAACUGUCCAGAAGUCGAGCCAUACUUCAAAUGACGAAGACGAGGACGAGGACGAGGACGAGGACGAGGACGAGGACGAAGACGAAGACGAAGACGAAGACGAAGAUUAAAAUUUUUGUCACAAAACACUACAGAUGUGUAAUUAUUAAUGCUACAGGUGCUAUUUUGGUUGUUAUCAUUAUUGUUCUUGUUA